rnacentral:rRNA from 1 species
UCUGCAACUCGACCACACGAAGCUGGAAUCGCUAGUAAUCGCGCAUCAGCCAUGGCGCGGUGAAUACGUUCCCGGGCCUUGUACACACCGCCCGUCAAGCCAUGGGAGCCGGGGGCGCCUGAAGUCCGGGACCGCGAGGACCGGCCUAGGGCGAAACUGGUGACUGGGGCUAAGUCGUAACAAGGUACC